ensembl:antisense 4932702P03Rik RIKEN cDNA 4932702P03 gene
CCUCGCUCUGCUUCUCCACCCGCCGUGGGAGCCGUUUUCCUCAGCCCAGCUCUGUUGAUGCUCAUUCUGGGCCCGGUCCCAAAGUAAGCUGCUCACAACGGUGGACUAGACCGGUCAGCUUUCUCCCUUGCCCCAGAACACACUUCGUUUUUUCUUAGAGGAAGAGGCUUCUAGCGCUCCCGCGUUCUGCUUUCCCAUUGCUGAAGUGACUCCCCGGAGAGCAGAGGUCUGUGGACCGCCCAACAUGUAAAGGAAAGUGCCCCUGGUAUGGACAUGCCAGAGUCUGGCUGUGCUUCCGGUUCCUCGGGAUUGGGCUUGGCCUCUGUCCUCGGGACUAUUGUAACCCUCAUCAACUGAAUCUUUCUGAACUCAUCAGCAAGCCAGGGGUUGGAGGAGGCCCUCUGAGCAGCGCUGGGGGAAUCACCCAGGGUCCUCUUUUUUUGUGGCGCUCUGGGAAGAAAGCCCCACUAGGAGCUUAGUAGCCACAGAGCAGAGUAAAGGUGGGGCUGUCUGCGCCUCUGUCAGUUGCCACUCAGAGGCGGUUCCCUGUGCAUUCUGCAGGGGCGAAACCAUCAGGUCUGGGAGCGAAGGCUGCAGGCUCCAUAUUGAGGUAGUACUUGAAGCCCACAGCCAACCCUUUCUGUCUUGAUUUGUGAAGCAGUAUCACCCUCCUGCCUUCAUCAUGUCCAGCUGGGACCUGCGAGGAACUCUGAGCCUUGAGGCCUGGGAGCUUGCCCUCUCGUCCUGGUCUCUGCUCAACCCUGGUCAAGGCUCUGCCUGGAGUUCCCACUGCUGUUGCUCCUUAAAUGAACUCUCUGGGAGUUGGGGAUGGGGAGGGAAAGCUCGUGUCAACAUUCCAAGUCUAAAUUUGAAGACAGCCGGUUUCCCCCGGGCACAGGGGACCCUGGGGGCAAAAUCUGUACGUUGAUCUCCUAACCCCCAAAUUCUAGAAUGUAGGAAGAGAUGAGCCCUUUAGGAGUGGUUCAAAAUGAAGCCGUCAGGCUGGGUCCUAAUCCAAUUUUACUGGUGUCAUAAGGUGACUAAGCCCCUCAGAGGGUUGGGGGGGGGCACCUAGUGGGGGAACUCCCACGAGGAACGGGCCACCUGUAGGCCCAGGAGGCGGGGUCAUACAGGACCUUUUCAUAGCUGACUAAGGCUUUGCCUUCACCAUGCAACCACUUAGGAAUUCAAUGGAGCUUUAGGAGUGACUCUAUUGUAAAGGCCAGUUUGCUUAGGUCUUUUGCAUAUUAUGCUCUAUACCGCCUAGGGAUUCUGCUAGCAAGGCCAUUGCCUUGACCUUGUACCAGAGCCAUGAGCUAAAACAAUACAACUUACCCAAGCUGUGGUAUUGUGUUAUUAGCAACCGAAAAUGCACUCAGACAAGUGUUCACAUUCGUAUUCCAGGAUCGUAUCUGGAUACCAGGGGCUCAGAAAAUGCCUUUCUCAUACUUCUCUGUAAAAAUAAAAGACUGGAGAAAGUG